GCGCAGAGGGGAGAGGAGGUUGCAGCUUACUGGAGAGGAAGAAGUCCCCCGCAAGAGCAGCGCGUGCGCAGAGUGAAGGGGCGGGUGGACUGCAGUAAAGCCCAGUGCAAGUGAAGCAGGACACCCAGGAGGGUGGGUUGUGUGUGCUCACAUGACCAAAGGUAUCCAGGUUGUAUUGUAUCCAGGAAUCCUUUUGCCUCUAGACCCCUAUGGCUGCUACCUGGAUACCUGACACAUGAAAGAUAACGAAUUUCAGCUGAUUUUUCAAAUGAAAACAAUAAUUUUACAAGAAAGAAGCAAGUUUUCCCACUUGAAACCUGACACCCUGCUCCUGCCUUUGUUCCAGGUAAUUUGCAUUUUCACAGAGCCUAGAGAUACCUCACCACAAAAGAAAUUCCUGCCCAGAAAAGUAUUCUGUCUUUCUACUCUUCUGUGAAAUAUGAAACAUCAUAACCAGAAGGAAAUAUGACUACAUCCUGCUGGCCACCAGACAGCUUUGAGGUAAAGAGACUGUUCCAACUUCUCUGAGCCUAAUCUGCAUAAAAGGAACUGUCCAAACAGGAGAUUUUUAUCACACCUUCAGCUUUCCUGUGAAAUAUGAAUUUUCAUCUCUACCUAGGAGAACUUUUACAGUCUUUGCUGUUUCCUAUGCCUGAAGAAGAGUGCCUGUGCCUGAAAGGUUGCAAAUAAUUUUUUUUUACAAAUACCUAGUUGGUCUAAUAAAAGAUAUCCCCUCUGCCACGAGUUCUGAUUCCUCAUGAGUGAAGACACUGUAUCCUCAUCCACCUUCAUAGCUCCCAGAGCAGCUCACUUCAGCAGCUGUCCAGAAAGCAAACAAAAUGCUAGAGAUUUUUCAGAAAAGAACUUUAAACUAAACAGAAAGUAGCCUCAUGUGCUUUUAUACAUCUGAGGUGUGGCCACACCUUGAACGUUGUGCCAGGUUCUCAUCCCCCAUGGCUCAAAAAGGGUGUAGAAGAAUUAAAGAUGGUCCACAAGAAGGCAACAAGAAUAAUUACCUGUAUGAAGGGGCUUCCACGUGAGGAGAGACUAGAGAGGUUAGGCCCAUUCUGUUCAGAGGAAAGAUGCUUGAGGGGAGACAUGAGAAAGGUUGACAACAUAAUAAAUGAUGAUGAGGAAGUAAAUAAGGAUUUAUCAUUUCCUGUCUCACACAAGAGAAGAACCAGUGUUAACAAAGUUUAAAACUAAACAAAGGAAGUUCUUUUUCACACAGGAUGUCAUUCAAGUGUGGACAUCCUUGCUACCAGAUAUGGUGGAAGCUGACUGUAACCAGAUUCAAAAAAAGGAUCAGACAGAUUCUUGGAGGAAAGGGGCAUCAGUGGCUACUAAGCAUAGGUGUUAAGGAUACAGCCUCUAAAUUAGAACUUCUUAGACCUUAAAUGCUGGAGACUGCAAAUGAGAAAAGGGUUUUUCCACUGUUCCUCGUCGUACCUUGUUCACUUUCCCUUUCAGCAUCCACUCUCUACCACUGUGUGACCCAGACCUUUUGAUAUGCCAUUCUAGAACAUGGGCCAGAGCCCACCAAAUAGACCUAUAAGCCCCCCCGCCGUUGCUGAGGGAGCGCACUAAUCGCAUCACUUAUUGCAUGGGACAACUAAAAGACAAAACAGAGUCAGAAGUGAAGGUCAGAAGUUCAAAAUGAGUGUACCAAGGUGGGGGCAUGCUGAGCAUAGAGCACCAGAUGGUGCCCGCUGGUCUUUGAAUGAGUUCAGCACUGCCCAGAGUGAAACUCUGCCCAGAGAUGCGAACAGACCAGAGACAGAAAAAUGGCCCCGCAGUUCCUGGGAGUCUUCCCACCCAGAGACUCUUUCCUGGUCACUUUGAUGCAGGAUACUGAGCAAGCUGAACACUUGGUCUGAUCCAAUAAAUGUUAGUGUUCUGGGGGGUUUUUUAUCAAGCCUUUCUUCUGACCAUCUCUGUUCUGUAGUAUUUGCUUAUCUUUGUAGAGGGUUUGUUUUCAGUGCUUAUCAUUAAUGUGUUUCCAUGGGCAGAUGUACAGUUUUGAAAAGCUAAAUGCAAAUGAUGUAGUGCAUCAUCCCAUAUAACAAAGCACAUAUUUUUUGCAAUGUAUAAAGAAACUAGAAGCCUUACUAGUAUGCUAGGGGCUUAAGACUAUAUUAUUCAGUUUAACAUCAAAGCAAAAACAAAUAUAAGUUCACUGGAGUGUGCUUAAAACAAUCUGCACAGCUGUGAAAUAGGAGCUACAUUACCAGGAGCAGAUAACAAAUAGCAGAAUUGCAGAAGAAAGGAUAGCUUGAUUCGCAGAACAUCAAGACCAUUAAAAAAGGAGAGAAGGUCAUUAACACCUGUGGAAUGAAGAACUCUUGAAUGAGACAGACUCAGGUAGAUUUUAAUGAGCCAUGAAUUCAGUUGAUGCUCCCACUGCUGCCUGAACAGAAAUGUUGCUGUCACUGCCAGGAAUUGGUUUAAAAUUUUGGGUAGAGCAGUAAACAAAGUGGGGUGCAACUGCACCAGUGCAUCCUCCCUGGUUCCACAGCUGUAUGUCUUCUUUGUAGCAUUGCAAACCCCAAGUGCUCCAAAGUGGUUGGUCCAGUGGCUCUCAGCCUUUUUAAGCUCAAGGCACCUGUCAGAAACUGUCAGCUGUGGGUUUUUACUCAUUUUUUGAAUAUGGAAAAAUAAUACAAUUUUUUUCUAUUGCAAAGCAAUCAGAAAGACCACAAUAAGCCAGAAUGUUCGUAACCCUGUGGAUUUUUGUUUGAAAUGGUUGGGUAUAUCUCAUAUUUCAUGUUUGCACACUUAACGGUGCUAAAAUUGCAUGACAUCCCACAUCACCUCUGAAAGGAUCUCAAGGCACCCUGGUUGAAAAUCACUCUUAUUAGUCUUCAGAAAUCAUGAUAAAUUGCAAAGUGGGCAUGUCUACACAUGCUAUUAUUGCUUUUGAAUAAACUCUGGAGCUUAUUGCUCCAGAGUUUAUUGCUCCUGGGUGCUGCGUCUGCAAGUGUUUCUGGGAGUGCAGCACAUUGAGCUGGGUCAGAACGGCCCCAGCUGGAAGGGGGCCCAUGAGAAGCCUGCCACAGCCUGGGGCUGCUCCACCUGGCUUAGUGUUGCAUAGGAGCUGGUGGGGCACAAGAGUGCUUCAAUGUGGGGCUAGAUUCUCACAUAACUAUUUGUCUCCAAAAGCUGGCAGCUCUAUUAAAACAUAAGAUUCUUGGUAAAAUAGCAACCUGGUUUGCUGGCAUUGUGCAAUAUCAAUUUAUGCCCUCUCAGGCUGCCAGUCCAAGGCGUGGAGUGAAUUUCAAAGGAACAGGGUCAAGCUUUCCCAAGGCCAGAAUUACCAUACUUCUAAGGGAGGGAUUCCAUUUUAGAUGCCUGGUCUCCACUGCAGACAAUCAAGCCCUCCACAGAAGUGCUGUACAUCUCCAUGGACUCAGGAGGUGUGUCAACAGCAGUUUAAAUAUAAAGGAAAAUAGCUUAAGUGUUUUGUUUAUAUUAGAAAGUAGUGAUGAGAUGGAAGAGUGCUUAUUUGACAUGCCAAGCUUUCUUGUGGUCUUGCUAUAUAGACUUUUAACAUGACACCUGGCACCUUUAAGAGACAACAUUAUGUCUGCUUCAUGUACUGAAACUUUCUGUCCUAAAACUGUGAUUUGUGCAUUCAAUCCAUGUUUCCCCAGAAUCAUGUUGUUUGCUUGCUUCCACUGAGUUUACCCCUCUGAAGGAGGACUACACAAAAUAUUGCUGCGUUGUAAUAAAAGACUUGGCCAUA